AAGCGACCUCAGUUCGGAUUGAAGGCUGAAAUUCGCCUUCAUGAAGUCGGAAUUGCUAGUAAUGACAGGUCAGCAUACUGCCGUGAAUACGUUCCCGGGCCUUGUACACACCGCCCGUCACACCAUGAGAGUUGGAGAUACCCGAAGCCUAUGAGCUAACUUUUAGAGGCAGUAGUCGAAGGUAGAAUCAAUGAUUGGGGUGAAGUCGUAACAAGGUAUC
rnacentral:rRNA from 1 species